rnacentral:rRNA from 1 species
AGUGAACGCUGGCGGUAGGCCUAACACAUGCAAGUCGAACGGCAGCACAGUAAGAGCUUGCUCUUACGGGUGGCGAGUGGCGGACGGGUGAGGAAUACAUCGGAAUCUACUUUUUCGUGGGGGAUAACGUAGGGAAACUUACGCUAAUACCGCAUACGACCUACGGGUGAAAGCAGGGGAUCUUCGGACCUUGCGCGAUUGAAUGAGCCGAUGUCGGAUUAGCUAGUUGGCGGGGUAAAGGCCCACCAAGGCGACGAUCCGUAGCUGGUCUGAGAGGAUGAUCAGCCACACUGGAACUGAGACACGGUCCAGACUCCUACGGGAGACAGCAGUGGGGAAUAUUGGACAAUGGGCGCAAGCCUGAUCCAGCCAUACCGCGUGGGUGAAGAAGGCCUCCGGGUUGUAAAGCCCUUUUGUUGGGAAAGAAAAGCAGCAGGUUAAUACCCCGCUGUUCUGACGGUACCCAAAGAAUAAGCACCGGCUAACUUCGUG